ensembl:lncRNA
UGGUCACCCUGUGUUGGAGUCCAAUCAUGCUGGCUACUUGAGGAUCUGACUACUUUUGACAUUUGAAUUUUUAACCCUUCAGCAUCAUGUGGGAUCAGGAAGUUACUCCCUCUCAGCAGAGCAGCAGGAUGAAAUUGUCUAUUCCAGUGUACAGUUCUGUAAGAACCAGGAGGAUUCCCUCUACUCCAACAUCACACAAGCUCAGCACAGACUGAAGGAAGAGGAGGAAGAUGUGGAGUACUCUGUUGUCAGAUUUACAAAUGGCACUGCUGCAUUUCACCAUGAUAUUGAAGAUCCGUCUGGUCUGUACAGCACAGUCUGCAAAAACCAGAAGUGUGUGAGAACAACAUGAAUGUACACAUAACCAUGUUAACCAUGGCGACUUGACAUUGUAACAACACACAUGUCACAACACACAUGUAGAUCAAAGUCAGCUCCCUGACCAGUUUGUCAGGCCACUGAUCUUUGUUGUAAUACCACAUUGUGUAACAACGUGAUGUUCUUAUGUUAGACACCCGUGAUUUUUGUGAGAUGCUUAAAUAAGACUGAUGACAUCGGUUAGCUAAAAGGUGCUAAUGCAAACAAGGCAUUUAGUGAUACAUGUCUGUAUACAAUAAGUUCUGACAGUCACACAUUAGUUGUUAAUUUUUAGAGCAACCUUUGAUGGCACUGAUUCUAAAUUAUUUUUUAUUGGAAUGAAUAAAUAUUACAUUAUAUCCUACUCUAAGCUAUUUUUUUCUUUUUUUUUUUUUCAUUUCAUCUUCUGGGCCGUUUGGCUACAUAACUUCAUGACUGUCUGGGACAACAAGGAAGUCAUGUUUUACAGUUACACAUAACAGUCAGUGUUCUGUUCUUUGAUUCACAGCCACAGAGCACACAGGAAGCAGCAACACUUUACUGCAGCUGCAAGAAUCAGCACAAUAACCACAACUGUUGUUGUCAUCAAAACAAAAUUUUCAUGCAUUCUAAUCAACUUCAGAACAUCACUUAGGAAGUAGACACAUCUUUUCAGACCAAAAG